rnacentral:rRNA from 1 species
GACGAACGCUGGCGGCGUGCUUAACACAUGCAAGUCGAACGGAAAGGCCCUGCUUUUGUGGGGUGCUCGAGUGGCGAACGGGUGAGUAACACGUGAGUAACCUGCCCUUGACUUUGGGAUAACUUCAGGAAACUGGGGCUAAUACCGGAUAGGAGCUCCUGCUGCGUGGUCGGGGUUGGAAAGUUUCGGCGGUUGGGGAUGGACUCGCGGCUUAUCAGCUUGUUGGUGGGGUAGUGGCUUACCAAGGCUUUGACGGGUAGCCGGCCUGAGAGGGUGACCGGCCACAUUGGGACUGAGAUACGGCCCAGACUCCUACGGGAGGCAGCAGUGGGGAAUAUUGCACAAUGGGCGGAAGCCUGAUGCAGCAACGCCGCGUGCGGGAUGACGGCCUUCGGGUUGUAAACCGCUUUCGCCUGUGACGAAGCGUGAGUGACGGUAAUGGGUAAAGAAGCACCGGCUAACUACGUG